UGCAGUCGAGCGAACAGACGAGGAGCUUGCUCCUCUGACGUUAGCGGCGGACGGGUGAGUAACACGUGGAUAACCUACCUAUAAGACUGGGAUAACUUCGGGAAACCGGAGCUAAUACCGGAUAAUAUAUUGAACCGCAUGGUUCAAUAGUGAAAGACGGUUUUGCUGUCACUUAUAGAUGGAUCCGCGCCGCAUUAGCUAGUUGGUAAGGUAACGGCUUACCAAGGCAACGAUGCGUAGCCGACCUGAGAGGGUGAUCGGCCACACUGGAACUGAGACACGGUCCAGACUCCUACGGGAGGCAGCAGUAGGGAAUCUUCCGCAAUGGGCGAAAGCCUGACGGAGCAACGCCGCGUGAGUGAUGAAGGUCUUCGGAUCGUAAAACUCUGUUAUUAGGGAAGAACAAAUGUGUAAGUAACUAUGCACGUCUUGACGGUACCUAAUCAGAAAGCCACGGCUAACUACGUGCCAGCAGCCGCGGUAAUACGUAGGUGGCAAGCGUUAUCCGGAAUUAUUGGGCGUAAAGCGCGCGUAGGCGGUUUUUUAAGUCUGAUGUGAAAGCCCACGGCUCAACCGUGGAGGGUCAUUGGAAACUGGAAAACUUGAGUGCAGAAGAGGAAAGUGGAAUUCCAUGUGUAGCGGUGAAAUGCGCAGAGAUAUGGAGGAACACCAGUGGCGAAGGCGACUUUCUGGUCUGUAACUGACGCUGAUGUGCGAAAGCGUGGGGAUCAAACAGGAUUAGAUACCCUGGUAGUCCACGCCGUAAACGAUGAGUGCU
rnacentral:rRNA from 1 species